GCUGUAGCUCAGUGGCAGAGCAUCUGCUUUGCAUGCAGAAGGUCCCUGGUUCAAUCCCCAGCAUCUCCU
rnacentral:tRNA from 1 species